rnacentral:rRNA from 1 species
CGGUCUAAGUUCGGAUUGCAGGCUGCAACCCGCCUGCAUGAAGUCGGAAUCGCUAGUAAUCGCGAGUCAGCAUAUCGCGGUGAAUACGUUCCCGGGUCUUGUACACACCGCCCGUCACACCAUGGGAGUUGGCAACACCCGAAGUCGAUGAGCUAACCGCAAGGAGGCAGUCGCCUAAGGUGGGGUUGAUAACUGGGGUGAAGUCGUAACAAGGUAUC